UAUCUCUGUAGAGUCUGCAUAUCAAUAAGCGGAGGAAAAGAAACUAACAAGGAUUCCCUUAGUAACGGCGAGUGAAGCGGGAAGAGCUCAAAUUUGAAUCUUCAAGGUUCUACCUUGACGAAUUGUAGUUUAAAGAAGUGUUUUCUGUUAGAUGAGUUAGGCUAAAAGUUCCUUUGGAAUAGGGACAUCAUAGAGGGUGAGAAUCCCGUAUUUGACCGUUAUUUUCAGCUGUGUGAUACACUUUCAAAGAGUCGGAUUGUUUGGGAAUGCAGUCCAAAAUGGGUGGUAAAUUUCAUCUAAAGCUAAAUAUUGGCGAGAGACCGAUAGCGAACAAGUACCGUGAGGGAAAGAUGAAAAGAACUUUGAAAAGAGAGUUAAACAGUACGUGAAAUUGUCAAAAGGGAAGCGUUUGACACCAGUGUUGUUUUUCCAAAAAUCAAUUACGAAUGGCUUGAUUUUGUGUUGUAUUGACCUUAUCAGCUUUCUUCACUUUUUUCGAGUCUUUCUUAAUGCACUUUUUGGUUAACAAGUCAACAUCAAUUUCUUUUGUUGUAAAAGAGUAUUCGGAAGGUGGCUUUCUUUUCGGAGAAAGUGUUUAUAGCCCUAUACUUCUACAAUCGGAGAGAUUGAGGUCUGCAGCGUAGAUCCUUCGGGGUUAGAUACACUUGUGCUAAGUUGUAGCUUUUCAUAGACAACUUGUUGACUAUGUUUAGUCUUGCGGCUUACUCGCUUGUGCUAUUUUACCUACGCUUAGGAUGUUGACUGAUAUGUAGUCGUA
rnacentral:rRNA from 1 species